CGAAAGCCUGACGGAGCAAGACCGCGUGAGGGAGGAAGGCUCUUGGGUUGUAAACCUCUUUUCUCAGGGAAGGAGCUCUGACGGUACCUGAGGAAUAAGCCUCGGCUAACUCCGUGCCAGCAGCCGCGGUAAUACGGAGGAGGCAAGCGUUAUCCGGAAUUAUUGGGCGUAAAGCGUCCGCAGGUGGCGAUUCAAGUCUGCUGUCAAAGCACGGGGCUUAACUCCGUUAAGGCAGUGGAAACUGAAUGGCUAGAGUGCCGUAGGGGUAGAGGGAAUUCCCGGUGUAGCGGUGAAAUGCGUAGAGAUCGGGAAGAACAUCGGUGGCGAAAGCGCUCUACUGGACGGCAACUGACACUCAGGGACGAAAGCUAGGGGAGCG
rnacentral:rRNA from 1 species